rnacentral:misc_RNA from 1 species
AAGUCGUAACAAGGUUUCCGUAGGUGAACCUGCGGAAGGAUCAUUAGUGGAUUAGUUUUUAACUCUUCUACACCCUUUGUGCACCAUUUUAACUUGGUUGGUUCCCUGUGAUAAUUUUGGUCUUUGACUGAAUAACGCGCUGGGUCCCGGAGGUAAUGUGCCUUUUGUUUCUUUACAAUGGUUGUAUUGUUUGUGUAAAGCUGUGUGGGACUGAGAUUCAUUCUACCAUGCAAUGUAGCACUACAAUAUUUCACAGAGUUUAUGGGCAUUAGGUUACGACCUUUUCGGAUGUAUCACCGUUGUGAUACAGGCUGACUGGCUUUUUGAGAGAGAUGCCUUUAGUUUACAUUAUACCUAAGUAUACCAUUCUUUGAAUGUAAUACAACCUUUAGCAAUGGAUCUCUAGGCUCCU